rnacentral:rRNA from 1 species
UACGGAGGGUGCGAGCGUUAAUCGGAGUUACUGGGCGUAAAGGGCGCGUAGGCGGUUAAUUGAGUGAGUUGUGAAAUCCCUGGGCUUAACCUAGGAAUUGCAACUCAUACUGGUUGACUAGAGUGCAGUAGAGGAGAGUGGAAUUUCCGGUGUAGCGGUGAAAUGCGUAGAUAUCGGAAGGAACACCAGUGGCGAAGGCGACUAUCUGGACUGACACUGACGCUGAGGCGCGAGAGCGUGGGGAGCAAACAGG